GACGUAGGGCGCGAGCGUUGUCCGGAAUUAUUGGGCGUAAAGAGCUUGUAGGCGGUUUGUCGCGUCUGCUGUGAAAUUUCGGGGCUCAACCCCGAACUUGCAGUGGGUACGGGCAGACUAGAGUGUGGUAGGGGAGACUGGAAUUCCUGGUGUAGCGGUGAAAUGCGCAGAUAUCAGGAGGAACACCGAUGGCGAAGGCAGGUCUCUGGGCCACUACUGACGCUGAGACACGAAGGCCAGGGGAGCAAACGGG
rnacentral:rRNA from 1 species